UUGUUGUACAGGAAGAAUUGGAUUCAGAAGGGACACUAAAAGGCACAGGCUCUGCCCUCAUCAAUCCAUCAAUCUAGUUGGGAAGCAUAACCAAACACACUAAAACUAAUGAGCUAAAAAUGAAAAGAUUUGUUUUUGGUGAGAAGGAGAUUCCAAACUCUCAGUCCUGCAGAAGAUCAAGAAAGGCAUUUUCUUCUUGGCUGCAAAAGCCACAGCCAUAAACGAAGAAGAAUAUAGAGGACUCAGUUUUCAGGAGGAAGAAAUGGCACCUGGAAGAGAAAUGAAGGAAGAAGAGGAUGGGGAAGCUGAUCAACUGAUUCUGAAUGAAGAUGGCCCUCAAGACUUCCUCUUGUCCACUCAAGGGCAAAAUAGAAAGCUAACCCUUAAACGCUGUACCUGCAGAAGAAAAUGUCCAGUAACAAUGAGGAAAGGCCGUUGCCUACGGUUUGCUUAUAUUUGCUGCUUUUCCUGAGGCUUUUAGAACAAUGAGCAACAUGGAUCUAUCUGGAUUUCCUUGGGAAUCUACUUAUUGACUCUGCACUCUUCGGAACCCUAUUCAUGCAAUUAAAAUACCAUUCU